rnacentral:rRNA from 1 species
GUUUGAUCCUGGCUCGGAUGAACGCUGGCGGCGUGCCUAAUACCUAUUAAUCGAACGCACAGCGAAAGGUGCUUGCACCUUUCAGCUGUAUGACGAACGGGUGAGUAACACGUGGACAACCUGCCUCAAGGCUGGGGAUAACAUUUGGAAACAGAUGCUAAUACCGAAUAAAACUCAGUGUCGCAUGACACAAAGUUAAAAGGCGCUUUGGCGUCACCUAGAGAUGGAUCCGCGGUGCAUUAGUUAGUUGGUGGGGUAAAGGCCUACCAAGACAAUGAUGCAUAGCCGAGUUGAGAGACUGAUCGGCCACAUUGGGACUGAGACACGGCCCAAACUCCUACGGGAGGCUGCAGUAGGGAAUCUUCCACAAUGGGCGAAAGCCUGAUGGAGCAACGCCGCGUGUGUGAUGAAGGCUUUCGGGUCGUAAAGCACUGUUGUAUGGGAAGAACAGCUAGAAUAGGGAAUGAUUUUAGUUUGACGGUACCAUACCAGAAAGGGACGGCUAAAUACGUGCCAGCAGCCGCGGUAAUACGUAUGUCCCGAGCGUUAUCCGGAUUUAUUGGGCGUAAAGCGAGCGCAGACGGUUGAUUAAGUCUGAUGUGAAAGCCCGGAGCUCAACUCCGGAAUGGCAUUGGAAACUGGUUAACUUGAGUGCAGUAGAGGUAAGUGGAACUCCAUGUGUAGCGGUGGAAUGCGUAGAUAUAUGGAAGAACACCANUGGCGAAGGCCGCUUACUGGACUGUAACUGACUUUGAAGCUCGAAAGUGUGGGUA